rnacentral:rRNA from 1 species
GUGGAUUCUCAAGCGUGAGGUAAGAGCAUUUGGUGGAUGCCUUGGCGUAUACAGGCGAUGAAGGACGUGGCACGCUGCGAUAAGCGUGGGGGAGCCGUGAGCAGGCUUUGAUCCCGCGAUUUCCGAAUGGGGAAACCCACCUUCACCAUUUCUCUUCGAUCCCUUUUGGGGCUCGGAGUGAGGUGGACAAGGUAUCACCGAGCUGAACACAUAGGCUUGGUGAAGCGAACCCGGGGAACUGAAACAUCUCAGUACCCGGAGGAAAAGACAUCAACCGAGAUUCCCGUAGUAGUGGCGAGCGAACCGGGACCAGGCCAGUACCUUAUCUUCAACUAGCGGAACACUUUGGAAAGAGUGGCCAUAGCGGGUGACAGCCCCGUACGCGAAAGUGAUGGAUAAGGUCUCGAGUAGGGCGGGACACGUGUAAUCCUGUCUGAACAUGGGGGGACCACCCUCCAAGCCUAAAUACUCGUAUACGACCGAUAGCGAACACAGUACCGUGAGGGAAAGGUGAAAAGCACCCCGAUUAGGGGAGUGAAACAGUACCUGAAACCGGAUGCUUACAAGCAGUUGGAG